AACAAGGCGUACCUGCGGACCUGCGGAGGGAUCAUUACAGAGUUCGUGCCCUCGCGGGUAGAUCUCCCACCCUUGUGUAUUCUCUACAUCUUGUUGCUUUGGCAGGCCGUUGGUUCGCCAACCACCGGCUCGCGGGCUGGUGCGUGCCUGCCAGAGGACCUCUCAAACUCGGUUUGUUAGUGUCGUCUGAGUACCAUAACAAUCGUUAAAACUUUUAACAAUGGAUCUCAGAUCGGAAGA
rnacentral:misc_RNA from 1 species